AUGGGAAAACUCAUGAAGGCUUUUGGUAAGGGCACUUCUGCUGCUUGUGUUGAAGAUUGUGAUGAUUCAGAUGGGGAUCCUUUUGUCCCCAAUGAUUUUGCCGAGGAUGAUCCUUUUCAAGCUUCGGAGGAAGGUCAAAUGGAUGAUCCUGAUUUGGAGAAAGCUUUGUAUGAGUUCUACGUGUCUCAUAAAGUGAAUUGCUUAACGGAAGAUUACAAAUGCUGGAGCUCGCAAUGUGGUAUUUUAUUUUUUGUUGUUUAUAUUUCCUUUUUUUGCAUGCAACUUCUCUAUGAUAGAUAUGGAUAUAAGUUUUAG
rnacentral:rRNA from 1 species